rnacentral:rRNA from 1 species
UGAAUGGGGCAACCCACUAUAUUGAAGAUAUAGUAUUCUGAACUUGUUUCAGGAGGCAAACCCAGGGAACUGAAACAUCUAAGUACCUGGAGGAGAAGAAAACAAAAGUGAUUCCGUUAGUAGUGGCGAGCGAACGCGGAAUAGCCCAAACCAGUGUUGUUACGGCAAUACUGGGGUUGUAGGACUGCGACAUUGUAUGAUUCAUGAAUUAGAACUGUUUGGAAAGACAGACCACAGAGGGUGAUAGUCCCGUAUAGGUAAGUGAAUUAAUACAUAGCAGUAUCCUGAGUAGCGCGGGACACGUGUAAUCCUGUGUGAAUUUGGCGGGACCAUCCGCUAAGGCUAAAUACUCCG